AUUGAACGCUGGCGGCAGGCCUAACACAUGCAAGUCGAACGAGUGGCGGACGGGUGAGUACUGUUUGGGAAACUGCCCGAUGGAGGGGGAUAACUACUGGAAACGGUAUCUAAUACCGCAUACCAUCGGAUGUGCCCAGAGGGGAUUAGCUGGUAGGUGAGGUAACGGCGCACCUAGGCGACGAUCCCUAGCUGGUCUGAGAGUAUGACCAGCCACACUGGAACUGAGACACGGUCCAGACUCCUACGGGAGGCAGCAGUGGGGAAUAUUGCACAAUGGGCGCAAGCCUGAUGCAGCCAUGCCGCGUGUAUGAAGAAGGCCUUCGGGUUGUAAAGUACUUUCAGCGGGGAGGCGUUACCCGCAGAAGAAGCACCGGCUAACUACGUGCCAGCAGCCGCGGUAAUAC
rnacentral:rRNA from 1 species